GGACUAGUCAAUUAAUCUGCUUAUCUGAAUGUGUUUCUACAGCAAUUUAGGAAAACAGUGGCAAUUGUGAGCAUUAAGGAUAACUGAGGUCAUUAAGGUCCCUGAAAAUGGCUACAGUA
rnacentral:snoRNA from 1 species